rnacentral:rRNA from 1 species
AGCGAACGCUGGCGGCAGGCCUAACACAUGCAAGUCGAGCGGCCGUAGCAAUACGGCAGCGGCAGACGGGAGAGUAACACGUGGGAACGCGCCCUUCGGUCUGGAAUAACCCAGGGAAACUUGGGCUAAUACCGGAUACGCCCUUACGGGGAAAGAUUUAUUGCCGAAGGAACGGCCCGCGUCCGAUUAGCUAGUUGGUGAGGUAACGGCUCACCAAGGCGACGAUCGGUAGCUGGGCUGAGAGGAUGACCAGCAUCACUGGGACUGAGACACGGCCCAGACUCCUGCGGGAGGCAGCAGUGGGGAAUAUUGGACAAUGGGCGCAAGCCUGAUCCAGCCAUGCCGCGUGGAUGAUGAAGGCCCUAGGGUUGUAAAGCCCUUUCAGCGGGGAAGAUAAUGACGGUACCCGCAGAAGAAGCCCCGGCUAACUUCGUGCCAGCAGCCGCCGUAACAC